rnacentral:rRNA from 1 species
AUGGCACGGCACGCCAAGACGGACUCCGACGUGACGAGCCUGGCGCCGUCGUCGCCCCCGCGUUCCCCGCGCCGCCCGGCGUACUACGUCCACAGCCCCGCCGCCUCCCACCCGGACGUCGUGGCCUCCGGCGGCGGCGCCGGCGCCGCGGCCGACAAGAUGUCGCUCGCCGGCUCCACCCCGGCCGAGUCCCCGCUCCACUACCACUUCCACCACUCCGGCGCCGCGACGCACCACUCCCGCGAGUCCUUCACCGGCCGCCUCCUCUUCUCCGACCAGCUCCGCUCGGGCGGCGCGGCGGGGGCCGUGCCCUGGCGCCGCCUCGGCCACGGCAGCGGCGCCGGGAGCCUCGGGGACGACGACGACGAGGACGGAGGCCGCCCCGGGUCGCAGUCGCCGUGGAGGUGCUACGCGCUGGCGGCGUUCGCGUUCGUCGCCGUCUUCGCCUUCUUCCUGCUGGUGCUGUGGGGCGCGAGCAAGUCAUACAAGCCCCACGUCGAUGUCAAGAGCGUGGUGUUCGAGUCGUACCACAUCCAGGGCGGGACGGACCGGACGGGCGUGCCCACCAGGAUGAUGUCGGUCAACGCGACGGUCAGGCUGCGGUUCCGCAACCGGGGCACCUUCUUCGGCCUCCACGUCACCGCCGCGCCCUUCCACCUAUUCUUCGACGACCUCACCGUCGCCUCCGGAAACAUGAAGGAGUUCUACCAGGCGCGGAAGAGCGGGCGGGUGGUGACGGUGUCCGUGGUGGGGAAGCAGGUCCCGCUCUACGGCGCGGGCGCCAACCUGCACAGCAAGCCCAACAACGGCCGCCUCGGCCCCGCGGUGGUGCCCGUCAGGCUGGCCUUCGUGCUCCGGGCGCGCGCGCACAUCCUCGGCCUCCUCCUGCGCUCCAAGUUCUACCGCCGGUGCGUCUGCCGCCUCGACGUCCGCGAGGCCCACCUCGGCAAGCCCGUGCCCGGCGUCGCCGCCCGCUGCGAGUACCACGACGGGAGGUGA